rnacentral:lncRNA from 1 species
GCUGUCUGCGGCAGGGCCGCCAUCGGGCCGCGGCCGGUUAGUCGGCGUAAGAGCAGGCGGGGCCCGAGCUGGACCUGAGGAGCAGAGGCGGCUGGGCAGUCCUGCGGGUGCCUCCCUCUAGCCGCAUGAGCGCGGGACCGUGCACUCCGGGAGAGCCGGGGCCGCGCGGCCUUGUUCCCCGCGAACCCUCGAGGGGAAGUGCCGGGGCCGCGGCAGCAGGGCCAGGGCCCCGGGGGUCUCCCGCAGGCCACCCUGGACAGUGAUGAGCAGGUCCGCUGGACCUGCGCGUCCGUUAGUCGGAGCGGCUCCAUAGGGGACCUGGAUGGCGUGAAGUUAAGAGUCACGCAUCGAGGAUGGACUUGAGGGGAUCUGGAGUAGAGGAUGGGAGGGCAUUGAGAAAAUAGGGCCAGAGAUGAGGGACUCUAAGUGGGCGUGGAAACGCAGGAAAGAUUAAUUCAAGAUCUGUUUAGGCCGUUAAAUAGGAAUUGGGGCAUGAGGGACAGGAAGGAAGCAAGGAUUAGACAAGUGACUGGGAAGAUGUUAGUGCCUUUAUCUGGGUAAGAGGGAAGACGGGAGGGGGAAAGAUGAUGGGUUUAGCUUUGGACAUGUUGAGUUGUCUGUGAGACAGUCACAAGUGUAAACAUCCACCAAUGGUUGGUGUCCCGCCAACCAUUAAGAAAAGUCAGUUGAGAAAGUGGUAGAAAUGAGCAAAAAUCCUCACGAAGCCAUCCUACCGUCACUUUUUUUGUUGUUUUUUGUUUUUUUGGCAUAAUAGUGUCUACCUUUAAUUGAGCCUUGAACUAUGCCAGGCAGUGUUCUAGGUAUUUUUCGUGUGUUCACUAAUUUAAUCUUGAUGAUUAACCCAGUCUGGUAGGUAUUUAUGUAUGAGGAAUCCAAGAUACAGAAAGGCAUCUUGCCCAAGUUCACACGAGUAGUGGCUGGAGCCAAAAUUCGGUUUCAAGCAUGCUUUGCCAAGAGGUUGAAUUUUAAUUGGCUUUUCAUGGGCUUUCUCUAUUUUGUGUCCUGUUGGGGUCCAGAAUAACUUGGCUUUUCCAGCACAGCAAAUCUGCAAAUUUCUGGACUCAUUCUCUCUCAUUCUUCCCUAUAAACGCAGCUCAUUUCUUGCCAAAUGCAGCCAAUAGCAAAGGGCCCACCAACAUUUAAGAAGCAAAUGGAUGCACAGGAGCAUGAGAACAGUCAAAAGAGGAGGAAAGGAAAGGGAAUUGAGAAGGAAUGUCAAAAAAGUCAAGAAGACACAUAAUAGUGUAAAGUGUGGCUGAGAGGCAAUCCGAAGUCUACUGUGCGUAACAAUUAGGAGGCACUGAUAAACUAGCGAGAGAAGUCUCAGUGAUGGGAGAGGCAUGGAAGUUAGAAUGCAAAGAUGGGAUAUGAAAAAAUGAAGAAUGCAGUCAACUCUUAAAACGGUUGAGAAAGGAGGAAUUAAAAAGGCGUAUAAGAUUACAGGCAAGCUGGGCGCGGUGCUUCACCCCUGUAAUCCUAGCACUUUGAAAGGCUGAGGUGGGUGGAUCACCUAAGGUCAAGGGUUCGAGACCAGCCUGGCCAACAUGGCAAAACUCCGUCUCUACUAAAAAUACAAAAAGUAGCCGACUGUGGUGGUGCAUGCUUGUAAUCCCAGCUACUGGGGAGGCUGAGGCAAGAGAAUCACUUGAACCUGGGAGGUGGAGGUUACACAGUGAAGCUGAAACCAUGCCACUGCACUCCAGCCUGGGAGUCAGAGUGAGACUCCGUCUCAAAAAAAAAAAAAAAAAAAAAGAUUAAGAGCAAAUAGAGACUGAACAUGUUCAUAGGCUAAAGGGAGUUAGCCAACAGGACGUGCAAGGAAGAGGAGCCAAAGUCCUGGAGGAGACGAUAGGGGAUGAAGUUAAGAGUAAAGGUGGCUAGGGAAGUUGAUAGGCAUGGGGAGAAUUCAUUCUCUAAAUCUGUUUGGAAGGCUGUAAGGAUAGGAGCCCAAGGACAAUGGACAAAGUGACGAUUCAUCCCAAGCACUCCUUGGGCCAGUUAGGCAGCAAUAAGGUUUGUGUUUCCAGGUGAACAUAGUGAGUGUAGUGGUGGAGUCAGACAAGAUAGUGUCCAACAUGGCUGGUGAUACCCCGAAAGAAUUGAGUACAAACAUACAGAAGCCCAGGUGCUGAGGUAGCCCAGCUGAAAACAGUUUAGGGUACAACACGCAGCAGCAGCUACCACCAUUCCAAGUAUACUGGUCACACAUGCAACAGAUGACCUACCAAGAUGUCUCUAAUACAAACACAAGUGCCCCAUAGUGGCCAGACAUUUGAGGAAUGGCAUCUCCAUGAAGAUAGUGAGAGGUGACAGCGUGCUGGCAGCCCUGGCAGCCCUCGCUCGCUCUCGGCGCCUCCUCUGCCUGGGCUCCCACUUUGGUGGCACUUGAGGAGCCCUUCAGCCCACCGCUGCACUGUGGGAGCCCCUUUCUGGGCUGGCCAAGGCUGGAGCCGGCUCCCUCAGCUUGCAGCGAGGUGUGGAGGGAGAGGCGCGAGCGGGAACCAGGGCUGCGCGGGGCGCUUCUGGGCCAGCUGGAGUUCCGGGUGGGCGUGGGCUUGGCGGGCCCCGCACUCGGAGCGGCCUGCCAGCCGGCCCCGCCGGCCCCGGGCAAUGAGGGGCUUAGCACCCGGGCCAGCGGCUGCGGAGGGUGUACUGGGUCCCCCAGCAGUGCCAGCCCACCUGCGCUGCGCUGGAUUUCUCGCCGGGCCUUAGCUGCCUCCCCGUGGGGCAGGGCUCGGGACCUGCAGCCUGCCAUGCCUGAACCUCCUCACUUCCAUGGGCUCCUGCGCAGCCUGAGCCUCCCAGACGAGCGCUGCUCCCUACUCCAGGGCACCCAGUACCAUCCACCGCCCAAGGGCUGCGGAGUGCAGGCGCAGGGCAAGCGGGACUGGCAGGCAGCUCCACCUGCAGCCGCAGUGGGGGAUCCACUGGGUGAAGCCAGCUGGACUCCUGAGUCUGGUGGGGACUUGGAGAACCUUUGUGUCUAGCUCAGGGAUUGUAAACGCACCAAUCAGCGCCCUGUCAAAACAGACCACUCGGCUCUCUGUAAAAAGGACCAAUCAGCAGGAUGUGGGUAGGGCCAGAUAAGAGAAUAAAAGCAGGCUGCCCGAGCCAGCAGUGGCAACCCGCUCGGGUCCCUUCCACGCUGUCAAAGCUUUGUUCUUUCACUCUUUGCAAUAAAUCUUGCUGCUGCUCGCUCUUUGGGUCCACACUGCCUUUAUGAGCUGUAACACUCACCACGAAGGUCUGCAGCUUCACUCCUGAAGCCAGCGAGACCACGAACCCACCGGGAGGAACGAACAACUCCAGACGCACCGCCUUAAGAGCUGUAGCACUCACCGCGAAGGUCCGCAGCUUCACUCCUGAGCCAGCCAGACCACAAACCCCACCAGAAGGAAGAAACUCCAAACACAUCCAUACAUCAGAAGGAACAAACUCUGGACACGCCGCCUUUAAGAACUGUAACACUCACCGCGAGGGUCCGCGGCUUCAUUCUUGAAGUCAGUGAGACCAAGAACCCACCAAUUCCGGACACAAUAGCACGUGCACCAAAUAGAAUUCUCACCUAAGGGAAAAAGUUUAUAGAGCUAUCAGAGUAGGUCUCCAAUAGAGCAAGGUCUUGAGACAAAUGGGUAUUUUAUUUAAAAAAAAAAAUAGGCUGUCAUGAAACAAGAACAAACAGUGAAAAGAGAUACUAGACAUUAAUAAUUGAAGUUUAAAAACUCAACAUGAGUUGUCAGGUGUUGGGGAAGGAAAAGAUGCAUAGGCAGAGAACAGAAUUUUUAGGGCAAUGAACUAUUUUGUAUACUAUAAUGGUGGAUACAUGUAAUAUAUUUGUCAAAAUUCACAGAAGAUACAACACCAAGAAUGAAUCCUAAUGUAAACUAUGGACUAUGGGUGAUGAUGUGUCAAUGAAGUUUAAUCAGUUGUUAACAAAAGUACCACAGUGGAUGUUGAUAGUGGAGGAGGUUGCGUACAUGUGCACAGGCAGGGGAUAUAUGGUAACUGCUCAAUUUUCAAGUGAACCUAAAACUCCUCUAAUAAAUAAGGUUUAUUGUUUUUUUUAGAACCCCCCA